AUUAAUCCAUCCUUAAAGAUGCAUGUAUAGAUGCUAGAACUCCAUUCUUAAUUAGCACAACUAACAUAAUUAAAAUUAUUGACAAUAUGAGUUAUUUUUUUAUUGACA